rnacentral:rRNA from 1 species
GUCCACGCUGUAAACGAUGGCAACUGGGUGUCUCGGGUAUUGACCCCCGAUGCGCCGAAGUCAACACGUUAAGUUGCCCGCCUGGGAAGUACGGCCGCAAGGCUAAAACUCAAAGGAAUUGACGGGGCCCGCACAAGCGGUGGAGCAUGUGGUUUAAUUCGACGCAACGCGAAGAACCUUACCUGGACUCGAAAAUGCAGGAAGUUGGCUGAAAGGCUGAUGUGCUCGCAAGAGAGCCUGUAUCAGGUGCUGCAUGGCUGUCGU